rnacentral:rRNA from 1 species
UACGUAGGGGGCGAGCGUUGUCCGGAUUUAUUGGGCGUAAAGGGCGUGUAGGCGGCCUGUUAAGUCGGGGGUGAAAACCCGGAGCUCAACUCCGGGCCUGCCUCCGAAACUGGCGGGCUUGAGUGCUCUAGAGGGCAGUGGAAUUGCCGGUGUAGCAGUGAAAUGCGUAGAGAUCGGCAGGAACACCAGUGGCGAAGGCGGCUGCCUGGGGAGCAAACAGGG